GGGAAUUUGAAGCGGCGUUUCCUGAAAGCAAUGGCGCUGAUUCUUCGGGAUCUAUGAGGAAUUUACUACUGUCGAGAACUGAAAUUGGGCUUAAUUCAUCGGAGCUGCACUCUGAUUCUACUUUUCUGGUGUUUGUAGAAAUGCCCCACAGAGUUCAUGGAUUGGCUCCUUGCUAUCGAAUUAUGAUUUUGCUUCAUCUCUGGCAAGGGAUCCAAGCCCAUUAGUCUCGCCACAAUUCCAGAUGUGGGUUUGACAUUCAAAUCCUUGACUUGAAGAAGCUUCUCAUCAGAAUUCACUGAGCUAGUGUCGUCUGUGAUCUGAUCGGUCGGGUGCGUCGGGAGGGUACCGGAGCAGAGAAUUCGGCGGAGAAUUCCCGAAAGACAGCUCGGUGUAGCUAAUGCAGCUCUGGGGUUGCAGCCAUGAGCAUCAAAAGUGGAGGUGGAGAAGGAGGAAGAGGAAGAGCAAGAUGGAGAGGGCAACAACUUCAUGCUGAGUUCAGGUUAGUAAGCCGAAAAUGGUGACCGGUGAUUGCUUUUGUUCAAACUGAGCAGCAACCACUCUACAGACCAACAGCAACAACAACGACAGGGAGUGAAAUAUUAAAGUGGCAAUGCAAUGUUGGAGGACCAGAAGAUUGUGCGCUUGUCCAAACCGACCAGCUCUGGUAACAUCAUGAUUCCCUUUAACAUUAGAAUAUAACACUCAACUUAAAUGGUUAUAGUUUUGAAUCUACCCCGGGGCCUUGUCCUGGACAUUGAACUUGAACUCAUUAGUAACGUCCUAGUUCAGGGUAAGUGGAGUUGUAUAACAAACAUAGGCUCGACUUUGAUAUGUGAAGCUGUAGCUAUGUUUCCUUUUA